rnacentral:misc_RNA from 1 species
GAAAUGCGAUAAGUAAUGUGAAUUGCAGAAUUCAGUGAAUCAUCGAAUCUUUGAACGCACAUUGCGCCCGCCAGCAUUCUGGCGGGCAUGCCUGUUCGAGCGUCAUUUCAACCCUCGAGCCCCCCCGGGGGCCUCGGUGUUGGGGGACGGCACACCAGCCGCCCCCGAAAUGCAGUGGCGACCCCGCCGCAGCCUCCCCUGCGUAGUACCACACACCUCGCACCGGAGCGCGGAGGCGGUCACGCCGUAAAACGCCCAACUUUCUUAGAGUUGACCUCGGAUCAGGUAGGAAUACCCGCUGAACUUAAGC